GGCUGGGGCUUGGUGUGUGGGGACACACUGUUCCUGGCGUUUGUCCUGAUGGUCUUCCAUGAGGUGGCAUCUGUCCUACUUUCCAAACCCUUUCCUUCAGGUAAUCCAAAGCCAGGAUAAGGAGGUUACAGAUUAUUUACUCUGAAAAUUCCGACUCUCUUCCAGCUUCAUACGUGUUAAAUGGCUUGUGUUAUGAGAAGAGCCAAGGGACUCUAGCAGUGCAUUUCUUUUCAUUUUAUUUAAAGAGAAAUUCAUGAGGCCCUUUCACUUCACAUUAAGGAUGAGACGGUGGAAAGGGGAGAGUGGGGGACUGGAAUGCAAAAGUAGGAAGUCAAGAAACACCUGGAAUAACAGGCAAAUUUGGCCUUGGAGUACAGAAUGAAGAAGGGCAAAGGGCAAAGAGUUCUUCCAAGAGAAUGCACUGGUCAUAGCAAACACCCUCUUCCAACAACACAAGAGAAGACUGUACACGUGGACAACACCAGAUGGUCAACACCGAAAUCAGAUUGAUUAUAUUCUUUGAAGCCAAAGAUGGAGAAGCUCUGUACAGUCAGCGAAAACAAGACUGGGAGCUGACUGUGGCUCAGAUCAUGAACUCCUUAUUGCCAAAUUCAGACUUAAAUUGAAGAAAAUAGGGAAAACCAGUAGACCAUUCAGGUAUGACCUAAAUCAAAUCCUUUAUGGUUAUACAGUGGAACUGAGAAAUAUAUUUAAGGGACUAGAUCUGAUAGAGUGCCUGAUGAACUAUGGACGGAGGUCUGUGACAUUGUACAGGAGACAGGGAUCAAGACCAUCCCCAUGGAAAAGAAAUGCAAAAUGGCUGUCUGAGGAAGGCUUACAAGUAGCUGUGAAAAGAAGAGAAGUGAAAAGCAAAGGAGAAAAGGAAAGAUAUACCCAUUUGAAUUCAGAGUUCCAAAGAAUAGCAAGGAGAGAUAAGAAAGCCUUCUUCAGUGAUCAAUGCAAAGAAAUAGAGGAAAACAAUAGAAUGGGAAAGACUAGAGACCUCUUCAAGAAAAUUAGAGAUAGCAAGGGAACAUUUCAUGCAAAGAUGGGCUCAAUAAAGGACAGAAAUGGUAUGGACCUAACAGAAGCAGAAGAUAUUAAGAAGAGGUGGCAAGAA
ensembl:lncRNA